rnacentral:rRNA from 1 species
GACGAACGCUGGCGGCGUGCUUAACACAUGCAAGUCGAACGGAAAGGCCCCUUCGGGGGUACUCGAGUGGCGAACGGGUGAGUAACACGUGAGUAACCUGCCCUUGACUUCGGGAUAACUUCAGGAAACUGGGGCUAAUACCGGAUAGGAAUCCUUGCUGCAUGGUGGGGGUUGGAAAGCUUCGGCGGUUUUGGAUGGACUCGCGGCUUAUCAGCUUGUUGGUGGGGUAAUGGCUUACCAAGGCUUUGACGGGUAGCCGGCCUGAGAGGGCGACCGGCCACAUUGGGACUGAGAUACGGCCCAGACUCCUACGGGAGGCAGCAGUGGGGAAUAUUGCACAAUGGGCGGAAGCCUGAUGCAGCAACGCCGCGUGCGGGAUGACGGCCUUCGGGUUGUAAACCGCUUUCAGCAGGGGCGAAGCUUGUGGUGACGGUACCUGCAGAAGAAGCACCGGCUAACUACGUG